UACAGAGGGUGCGAGCGUUAAUCGGAAUUACUGGGCGUAAAGCGCGCGUAGGCGGCUUUGCAAGUCGGGUGUGAAAUCCCCAGGCUUAACCUGGGAACUGCAUUCGAGACUGCAUUGCUAGAGUAUGGGAGAGGGAAGUGGAAUUUCCGGUGUAGCGGUGAAAUGCGUAGAUAUCGGAAGGAACAUCAGUGGCGAAAGCGCUCUGCUGGACCUGCACUGACACUGAGGGACGAAAGCUAGGGGAGCGAAAGGG
rnacentral:rRNA from 1 species